rnacentral:snRNA from 1 species
GGAUGUGAGGGCAAUCUGGCUGCGACAUCUGUCACCCCAUUGAUUGCCAGGGUUGAUUCAGCUGAUUUGAUGGCUAGGCGGGUGUCCCCUUCCUCCCUCACCGCUCCAUGUGCGUCCCUCCCGAAGCUGCGGGAAGAGGACGACCAUCCCCGAUAGAGGAGGACCGUUCUUCGGUCAAGGGUAUACGAGUAGCUGCGCUCCCCUGCUAGAACCUCCAAACAAGCUCUCAAGAAGUACACUGACUUACUUGGUUUUGGAUAGAAUUUACAUUCAUAGGGCUAAAUAAUUUGUGGUACAGUCAAUAGAAGUCAAUAU